AUUGAACGCUGGCGGCAGGCUUAACACAUGCAAGUCGAGCGGAGAUGAGGUGCUUGCACCUUAUCUUAGCGGCGGACGGGUGAGUAAUGCUUAGGAAUCUGCCUAUUAGUGGGGGACAACAUUCCGAAAGGAAUGCUAAUACCGCAUACGUCCUACGGGAGAAAGCAGGGGAUCUUCGGACCUUGCGCUAAUAGAUGAGCCUAAGUCGGAUUAGCUAGUUGGUGGGGUAAAGGCCUACCAAGGCGACGAUCUGUAGCGGGUCUGAGAGGAUGCUCCGCCACACUGGGACUGAGACACGGCCCAGACGCCUACGGGAGGCAGCAGUGGGGAAUAUUGGACAAUGGGGGGAACCCCGAUCCAGCCAUGCCGCGUGUGUGAAGAAGGCCUUAUGGUUGUAAAGCACUUUAAGCGAGGAGGAGGCUACUGAGACUAAUACUCUUGGAUAGUGGACGUUACUCGCAGAAUAAGCACCGGCUAACUCUGUGCCAGCCGCCGCGGUAAUAC
rnacentral:rRNA from 1 species